rnacentral:snoRNA from 1 species
UGGCCAAGGAUGAAAAAAAACAUGAUCUGAUUGCAUAUCUGUUUACAAUGAUAUGCACAAGUCUGAUGGGUUAAAGGAUUUACCUGAGGCCA